rnacentral:tRNA from 1 species
GGGGCCAUAGCUCAGGUGGGAGAGCGCUACAAUGGCAUUGUAGAGGUCAGGAGUUCGAGCCUCCUUGGCUCCACCA